CGAACUCCAAUUUUGACGUUCCAUAUAUCAAAAUCGAUUAGAAAAUUUUUUUGGAUCUGUCUAUCCCGCCAACGGCGGGUUCGACAAUUUUAGAAUCCCCAAAUUCGCCUCUGAAGUUUGAGUUUUCACCUCCUAAAUUUUUUUCAUAUUUUUCACAAUCUUCAAAAAAUUCAACAGGCCACGUCUUUCACUUGUUUAAGCUUAAAUUUCCUGUGGUUAUUUCUUGAGUGCUCCUUAGUAAAAGAAAAAUAUAAAAAAAAAUAAAAAGAAUUGCAGGGUUUCGAAUUGUGUUGUUCGCAAGCUGGAUUGAUAUGUCUCUCGUUUCCACCAAAUCGAUAGUUACCAGAAAGUUUCGGAAGAUCGGGCCACACUUGUUCUCCUGAAGUGGUAUUCGAAGCUUCAGACAUAUCGUUAGGUUCACAUCUACCCUUAGUUUCAAGUGUCCUUGUGUUCGUCGCAUAAGUCUAGUGCCAUAUUGUUUUCAUGUCCUACAACCCAUCCGCGCCAUAGCCUUUGCAUAUUUCAGUUUCAGAGUCCGUAGUGUUGAGUUUGUGUCCUGGUCAAGGUCUUGUUACUGGUUAGGUCUUGUUACAG
rnacentral:lncRNA from 1 species